rnacentral:rRNA from 1 species
UACAGAGGUCCCGAGCGUUUGUUCGGAUUCAUUGGGCGUAAAGGGUGCGUAGGUGGCGCCGUAAGUGGGGUGUGAAAUCCCGGGGGCUUAACCCCGGGACUGCAUUCCAUACUGCGGUGCUUGAGGACUGGAGAGGAGACUGGAAUUUACGGUGUAGCAGUGAAAUGCGUAGAGAAUCGUAAGGAAGACCAGUGGCGAAGGCGGGUCUCUGGACAGUUCCUGACACUGAGGCACGAAGGCCAGGGGAGCAAACGGG